CGGGUGCGUAACGCGUGGGAAUCUGCCCUUGGGUUCGGAAUAACAUCGGGAAACUGAUGCUAAUACCGGAUGAUGACGUAAGUCCAAAGAUUUAUCGCCCAGGGAUGAGCCCGCGUAGGAUUAGCUAGUUGGUGGGGUAAAGGCCUACCAAGGCGACGAUCCUUAGCUGGUCUGAGAGGAUGAUCAGCCACACUGGGACUGAGACACGGCCCAGACUCCUACGGGAGGCAGCAGUAGGGAAUAUUGGACAAUGGGGGCAACCCUGAUCCAGCAAUGCCGCGUGAGUGAUGAAGGCCUUAGGGUUGUAAAGCUCUUUUACCAGAGAUGAUAAUGACAGUAUCUGGGGAAUAAGCCCCGGCUAACUCCGUGCCAGCCGCCGCGGUAAUUCA
rnacentral:rRNA from 1 species